GGUUAAGUGACUAAGCGUACACGGUGGAUGCCUGGGCAGUCAGAGGCGAUGAAGGACGUACUAACUUGCGAUAAGCGCAGAUAAGGCAGUAAGAGCCGUUUGAGUCUGCGAUUUCCGAAUGGGGAAACCCAACUGCAUAAGCAGUUACUGUUAACUGAAUACAUAGGUUAACAGAGCAAACCGGGGGAACUGAAACAUCUAAGUACCCCGAGGAGAAGAAAUCAACCGAGAUUCCGGUAGUAGCGGCGAGCGAACCUGGAUUAGCCCUUAAGCACUCGGUGAAGUAGGUGAACAAGCUGGAAAGCUUGGCGAUACAGGGUGAUAGCCCCGUAACCGACGCUUCAUCGAGCGUGAAAUCGAGUAGGGCGGGACACGUGAUAUCCUGUCUGAAUAUGGGGGGACCAUCCUCCAAGGCUAAAUACUCCUGACUGACCGAUAGUGAACCAGUACCGUGAGGGAAAGGCGAAAAGAACCCCUGUGAGGGGAGUGAAAUAGAACCUGAAACCGUGUACGUACAAGCAGUAGGAGCACCUUCGUGGUGUGACUGCGUACCUUUUGUAUAAUGGGUCAGCGACUUAUAUUCAGUGGCAAGGUUAACCGUAUAGGGGAGCCGUAGCGAAAGCGAGUCUUAACUGGGCGCUCAGUCUCUGGAUAUAGACCCGAAACCGGGUGAUCUAGCCAUGGGCAGGUUGAAGGUUGAGUAACAUCAACUGGAGGACCGAACCGACUAAUGUUGAAAAAUUAGCGGAUGACUUGUGGCUAGGGGUGAAAGGCCAAUCAAACUCGGAGAUAGCUGGUUCUCCCCGAAAGCUAUUUAGGUAGCGCCUCGGACGAAUACUACUGGGGGUAGAGCACUGUUAAGGCUAGGGGGUCAUCCCGACUUACCAACCCUUUGCAAACUCCGAAUACCAGUAAGUACUAUCCGGGAGACACACGGCGGGUGCUAACGUCCGUCGUGGAGAGGGAAACAACCCAGACCGCCAGCUAAGGUCCCAAAGUAUUGCUAAGUGGGAAACGAUGUGGGAAGGCUCAGACAGCUAGGAUGUUGGCUUAGAAGCAGCCAUCAUUUAAAGAAAGCGUAAUAGCUCACUAGUCGAGUCGGCCUGCGCGGAAGAUGUAACGGGGCUAAGCAAUACACCGAAGCUGCGGCAAUGUCUUUUAGACAUUGGGUAGGGGAGCGUUCUGUAAGCCGUUGAAGGUGAAUCGUAAGGUUUGCUGGAGGUAUCAGAAGUGCGAAUGCUGACAUGAGUAACGACAAAGGGGGUGAAAAACCUCCUCGCCGGAAGACCAAGGGUUCCUGUCCAACGUUAAUCGGGGCAGGGUGAGUCGACCCCUAAGGUGAGGCCGAAAGGCGUAAUCGAUGGGAAACGGGUUAUAUUCCCGUACUUCUGACUAUUGCGAUGGGGGGACGGAGAAGGCUAGGUGGGCCAGGCGACGGUUGUCCUGGUUCAAGUGCGUAGGCUUGAGAGUUAGGUAAAUCCGGCUCUCUCUAAGGCUGAGACACGACGUCGAGCUACUACGGUAGUGAAGUCAUUGAUGCCAUGCUUCCAGGAAAAGCCUCUAAGCUUCAGAUAGUCAGGAAUCGUACCCCAAACCGACACAGGUGGUCGGGUAGAGAAUACCAAGGCGCUUGAGAGAACUCGGGUGAAGGAACUAGGCAAAAUGGUACCGUAACUUCGGGAGAAGGUACGCUCUUGAUGGUGAAGUCCCUCGCGGAUGGAGCUGACGAGAGUCGCAGAUACCAGGUGGCUGCAACUGUUUAUUAAAAACACAGCACUGUGCAAAAUCGCAAGAUGACGUAUACGGUGUGACGCCUGCCCGGUGCCGGAAGGUUAAUUGAUGGGGUUAGCGCAAGCGAAGCUCUUGAUCGAAGCCCCGGUAAACGGCGGCCGUAACUAUAACGGUCCUAAGGUAGCGAAAUUCCUUGUCGGGUAAGUUCCGACCUGCACGAAUGGCGUAAUGAUGGCCACGCUGUCUCCACCCGAGACUCAGUGAAAUUGAAAUCGCUGUGAAGAUGCAGUGUACCCGCGGCUAGACGGAAAGACCCCGUGAACCUUUACUACAGCUUGGCACUGAACAUUGAACCUACAUGUGUAGGAUAGGUGGGAGGCUAUGAAGACGUGACGCCAGUUGCGUUGGAGCCGUCCUUGAAAUACCACCCUUGUAUGUUUGAUGUUCUAACUUAGACCCAUUAUCUGGGUUGAGGACAGUGCCUGGUGGGUAGUUUGACUGGGGCGGUCUCCUCCCAAAGAGUAACGGAGGAGCACGAAGGUGGGCUAAUCACGGUUGGACAUCGUGAGGUUAGUGCAAUGGCAUAAGCCCGCUUAACUGCGAGAAUGACGGUUCGAGCAGGUGCGAAAGCAGGUCAUAGUGAUCCGGUGGUUCUGUAUGGAAGGGCCAUCGCUCAACGGAUAAAAGGUACUCCGGGGAUAACAGGCUGAUACCGCCCAAGAGUUCAUAUCGACGGCGGUGUUUGGCACCUCGAUGUCGGCUCAUCACAUCCUGGGGCUGAAGUCGGUCCCAAGGGUAUGGCUGUUCGCCAUUUAAAGUGGUACGCGAGCUGGGUUUAGAACGUCGUGAGACAGUUCGGUCCCUAUCUGCCGUGGGCGUUGGAAGAUUGAAGGGGGCUGCUCCUAGUACGAGAGGACCGGAGUGGACGAACCUCUGGUGUUCGGGUUGUGUCGCCAGACGCAUUGCCCGGUAGCUAAGUUCGGAAUUGAUAAGCGCUGAAAGCAUCUAAGCGCGAAGCGAGCCCUGAGAUGAGUCUUCCCUGACAGUUUAACUGUCCUAAAGGGUUGUUCGAGACUAGAACGUUGAUAGGCAGGGUGUGUAAGCGUUGUGAGGCGUUGAGCUAACCUGUACUAAUUGCCCGUGAGGCUUAACCAU
rnacentral:rRNA from 2 species